UUAAGUGAAUAAGGGCGCACGGUGGAUGCCUUGGCACUAGGAGCCGAUGAAGGACGGGACUAACACCGAUAUGCUUUGGGGAGCUGUAAGUAAGCUAUGAUCCAGAGAUUUCCGAAUGGGGGAACCCAACAUCUUUAAUAGGAUGUUACGAUUGUGUGAAUACAUAGCACAUUCGAGGUAGACGCAGAGAACUGAAACAUCUAAGUACCUGCAGGAAGAGAAAGAAAAUUCGAUUCCCUGAGUAGCGGCGAGCGAAACGGGAAAAGCCCAAACCAGCAAGCUUGCUUGUUGGGGUUGUAGGACUCCAAUAUGGUAGUUCUUUCAGAUAGUCGAAUGACUUGGAAAAGUCAGUCAAAGAGGGUAAAAACCCCGUAGACGAAAUGUGGAAGACACCUAGGAGGAUCCUGAGUACGGCGGAACACGAGAAAUUCCGUCGGAAUCCGGGAGGACCAUCUCCCAAGGCUAAAUACUCCCUAGUGACCGAUAGUGAACCAGUACCGUGAGGGAAAGGUGAAAAGCACCCCGGAAGGGGAGUGAAAUAGAACCUGAAACCGUGUGCCUACAACAAGUCAAAGCCCGUUAAUGGGUGAUGGCGUGCCUUUUGUAGAAUGAACCGGCGAGUUACGAUUGCAUGCGAGGUUAAGUUGAAGAGACGGAGCCGCAGCGAAAGCGAGUCUGAAUAGGGCGUUUGAGUAUGUAGUCGUAGACCCGAAACCAUGUGAUCUACCCAUGUCCAGGUUGAAGGUGCGGUAAAACGCACUGGAGGACCGAACCCACGUACGUUGAAAAGUGCGGGGAUGAGGUGUGGGUAGCGGAGAAAUUCCAAACGAACUUGGAGAUAGCUGGUUCUCUCCGAAAUAGCUUUAGGGCUAGCCUCGGAAUUGAGAAUGAUGGAGGUAGAGCACUGUUUGGACUAGGGGCCCAUCUCGGGUUACCGAAUUCAGAUAAACUCCGAAUGCCAUUCAUUCAUAUCCGGGAGUCAGACUGUGAGUGAUAAGAUCCAUAGUCGAAAGGGAAACAGCCCAGACCACCAGCUAAGGUCCCAAAAUAUAUGUUAAGUGGAAAAGGAUGUGGGGUUGCACAGACAACUAGGAUGUUGGCUUAGAAGCAGCCACCAUUUAAAGAGUGCGUAAUAGCUCACUAGUCGAGUGACCCUGCGCCGAAAAUGUACCGGGGCUAAACAUAUUACCGAAGCUGUGGAGUACACCUUUAGGUGUAUUGGUAGGAGAGCGUUCUAAGGGCGUUGAAGGCAGAUCGUGAGGACUGCUGGAGCGCUUAGAAGUGAGAAUGCCGGUAUGAGUAGCGAAAGACAGGUGAGAAUCCUGUCCACCGAAUGACAAAGCUUUCCUGGGGAAGGCUCGUCCGCCCAGGGUUAGUCGGGACCUAAGCCGAGGCCGACAGGCGUAGGCGAUGGAUAACAGGUUGAUAUUCCUGUACCCGUUGUUUUUGUUUGAGCAAUGGAGGGACGCAGGAGGCUAAGGAAUGCAGACGAUCGGAAAUGUCUGUCCAAGCAGUAAGUCUGAAGAGGAGUCAAAUGCUUCUUUUCUUAAGGACAAGCUGUGAUGGGGAGGGAAAUAAUAGUACCGAAGUUCCUGAUGUCACACUGCCGAGAAAAGCUUCUAGUGAGAAAACAGCGGCCCGUACCGCAAACCGACACAGGUAGUCGAGGAGAGAAUCCUAAGGUGAGCGAGAGAACUCUCGUUAAGGAACUCGGCAAAAUGACCCCGUAACUUCGGGAGAAGGGGUGCUGAUCAUACGAUCAGCCGCAGUGAAUAGGCCCAAGCGACUGUUUAUCAAAAACACAGGUCUCUGCUAAAUCGUAAGAUGAUGUAUAGGGGCUGACGCCUGCCCGGUGCUGGAAGGUUAAGAGGAUGAGUUAGCGCAAGCGAAGCCCAGAAUUGAAGCCCCAGUAAACGGCGGCCGUAACUAUAACGGUCCUAAGGUAGCGAAAUUCCUUGUCGGGUAAGUUCCGACCCGCACGAAAGGCGUAACGAUUUGGGCACUGUCUCAACGAGAGACUCGGUGAAAUUUUAGUACCUGUGAAGAUGCAGGUUACCCGCGACAGGACGGAAAGACCCCAUGGAGCUUUACUGUAGUUUGAUAUUGAGUGUCUGUACCGCAUGUACAGGAUAGGUAGGAGCCGUAGAAAUCGGAACGCUAGUUUCGAUGGAGGCGCUGGUGGGAUACUACCCCUGCGUUAUGGCCACUCUAACCCGCACCACUGAUCGUGGUGGGAGACAGUGUCAGAUGGGCAGUUUGACUGGGGCGGUCGCCUCCUAAAAGGUAACGGAGGCGCCCAAAGGUUCCCUCAGAAUGGUUGGAAAUCAUUCG
rnacentral:rRNA from 1 species